ACUGAACGCUGGCGGCAUGCCUUACACAUGCAAGUCGAACGGUAACAGGUUAAGCUGACGAGUGGCGAACGGGUGAGUAAUGUAUCGGAACGUGCCCAGUCGUGGGGGAUAACUACUCGAAAGAGUGGCUAAUACCGCAUACGACCUGAGGGUGAAAGCGGGGGACCGUAAGGCCUCGCGCGAUUGGAGCGGCCGAUAUCAGAUUAGCUAGUUGGUGGGGUAAAAGCCCACCAAGGCGACGAUCUGUAGCUGGUCUGAGAGGACGACCAGCCACACUGGGACUGAGACACGGCCCAGACUCCUACGGGAGGCAGCAGUGGGGAAUUUUGGACAAUGGACGCAAGUCUGAUCCAGCCAUGCCGCGUGCGGGAAGAAGGCCUUCGGGUUGUAAACCGCUUUUGUCAGGGAAGAAACGAGUUUCUCUAAUACAGAGAUUUAAUGACGGUACCUGAAGAAUAAGCACCGGCUAACUACGUGCCAGCCGCCGCAGUAAAAC
rnacentral:rRNA from 1 species